AGGUGAAGCUGGCAUUGCAUAUGUCAUGGUAUAGCAGGUUGUGGUGAGCUUGGAACGGAGAACAUGUGGUAUGGUACGUUGGAGUGACAUUGACACUGUGUAUGUUGUGGUAUAGGAAGUUGAGGUGAGCCUGGCACUGUGCACAUAUUGUCGUUAAGCUGGUUGUUGUGAGCUUGGCACUGUGUACAUGUGGUAUGGCACGUUGGAGUGACAUUGACACUGUGUAUGUUGUGGCAUAGCAAGGUGGGGUGAGCCUGGCACUGUGUAAAUAUUGUUGUUAAGCUGGUUGUGGUGAGCCUGGCACUAUGUACAUGUAGUAUGGCAGGUUGUGGUGAGCCUGGCACUUUGUACAUAUUGUCAUUAAGCUUGUUGUGGUGAGCCUGGCACUGUGUACAUGUCGUAUACCAAGUUGGUGCGAGCCUGGCGCUGUGUGUAC